GGUUAAGCGACUAAGCGUACACGGUGGAUGCCCUGGCAGUCAGAGGCGAUGAAGGACGUGCUAAUCUGCGAUAAGCGCCGGUAAGGUGAUAUGAACCGUUAUAACCGGCGAUUUCCGAAUGGGGAAACCCAGUGUGACUCGUCACACUAUCAUUAACUGAAUCCAUAGGUUAAUGAGGCGAACCGGGGGAACUGAAACAUCUAAGUACCCCGAGGAAAAGAAAUCAACCGAGAUUCCCCCAGUAGCGGCGAGCGAACGGGGAGGAGCCCAGAGCCUGAAUCAGCAUGUGUGUUAGUGGAAGCGUCUGGAAAGGCGCGCGAUACAGGGUGACAGCCCCGUACACAAAAGCGCAUGUGUU
rnacentral:rRNA from 6 species